rnacentral:rRNA from 1 species
UACAGAGGGGGCAAGCGUUGUUCGGAAUUACUGGGCGUAAAGGGCGCGUAGGCGGCCUUCUAAGUCGAACGUGAAAUCCCCGGGCUCAACCCGGGAACUGCGUCCGAUACUGGAAGGCUUGAAUCCGGGAGAGGGAUGCGGAAUUCCAGGUGUAGCGGUGAAAUGCGUAGAUAUCUGGAGGAACACCGGUGGCGAAAGCGGCUCUCUGGCCCGGAUCUGACGCUGAGGCGCGAAAGCGUGGGGAGCAAACAGG